rnacentral:rRNA from 1 species
AUAUCAGUCAUGCAUAGCAUAUCAAUAAGCGGAGGAAAAGAAACUAACAAGGAUUCCCUUAGUAACGGCGAGUGAAGCGGGAAGAGCUCAAAUUUGAAAUCUUCAAGGUUUUACCUUGACGAAUUGUAGUUUAAAGAAGUGUUUUCUGUUGAAGUUUUGGUAAAAGUUCUUUGGAAUAGGACAUCAUAGAGGGUGAGAAUCCCGUAUUUGACCAUUACUUUCAGCUUUGUGAUACACUUUCAAAGAGUCGGAUUGUUUGGGAAUGCAGUCCAAAAUGGGUGGUAAAUUUCAUCUAAAGCUAAAUAUUGGCGAGAGACCGAUAGCGAACAAGUACCGUGAGGGAAAGAUGAAAAGAACUUUGAAAAGAGAGUUAAACAGUACGUGAAAUUGUCAAAAGGGAAGCGUUUGACACCAGUGUUGUUUUCUCGAAAAUCAAUUAAAAAGAGUUGGAUUUUGUGUUGUAUUGACUUUAUCGGCUUUCCUCACUCUUUUCCAGCUUUUUUUAAUGCACUUUUCGUUUAACAAGUCAACAUCAGUUUCUUUUGUUGUAAAAAGGUCAUUGGAAGGUGGCUUUCUCUUCGGAGAAAGUGUUUAUAGCCUUUGACUCAUGCAAUCGGAGAGACUGAGGUCUGCAGCGUAGAUCCUUCGGGGUUAGAUACAUUUGUGCUAAGUUAUAGCUUUUCAUAGACAACUUGUUGACUAUGUUUAGUCUUGUAGCUUACUCGCUUAUGCUACUUUACCUACGCUUAGGAUGUUGAACUCUAUCACACACAG